CUUAAAAUUCUAAAGCACA
rnacentral:tRNA from 1 species